GAGAGAGAGAGAGGUCGGUCGGUCGAGAGAGAGAGAGGUCGGUCGAGAGAGAGAGAGAGAGAGAGGUCGGUCGAGAGAGAGAGGUCGGUCGAGAGAGAGGUCGGUCGAGAGAGAGAGGUCGGUCGAGAGAGAGAGGUCGGUCGAGAGAGAGAGGUCGGUCGAGAGAGAGAGGUCGAGAGAGAGAGAGAGAGAGAGAGGGCGGUCGAGAGAGAGAGAGAGGUCGGUCGAGAGAGAGAGGUAGGUCGAGAGAGAGAGGUCGGUCGAGAGAGAGAGAGAGGUAGGUCGAGAGAGAGAGGUAGGUCGAGAGAGAGAGGUAGGUCGAGAGAGAGAGGUAGGUCGAGAGAGAGAGGUAGGUCGAGAGAGAGAGGUAGGUCGAGAGAGAGAGGUCGGUCGAGAGAGAGAGAGAGGUCGGUCGAGAGAGAGAGAGAGGUCGGUCGAGAGAGAGAGAGAGGUCGGUCGAGAGAGAGAGAGAGGUCGGUCGAGAGAGAGAGAGAGGUAGGUCGAGAGAGAGAGAGAGGUAGGUCGAGAGAGAGAGAGAGGUAGGUCGAGAGAGAGAGAGAGGUAGGUCGAGAGAGAGAGAGAGGUAGGUCGAGAGAGAGAGAGAGGUAGGUCGAGAGAGAGAGAGAGGUAGGUCGAGAGAGAGAGAGAGGUAGGUCGAGAGAGAGAGAGAGGUAGGUCGAGAGAGAGAGAGAGGUAGGUCGAGAGAGAGAGAGAGGUAGGUCGAGAGAGAGAGAGAGGUAGGUCGAGAGAGAGAGAGAGGUAGGUCGAGAGAGAGAGGUCGGUCGAGAGAGAGAGGUCGGUCGAGAGAGAGAGGUCGGUCGAGAGAGAGAGGUCGGUCGAGAGAGAGAGGUAGGUCGAGAGAGAGAGGUAGGUCGAGAGAGAGAGGUAGGUCGAGAGAGAGAGGUAGGUCGAGAGAGAGAGGUAGGUCGAGAGAGAGAGGUAGGUCGAGAGAGAGAGGUAGGUCGAGAGAGAGAGGUCGGUCGAGAGAGAGAGAGAGAGAGGUCGGUCGAGAGAGAGAGAGAGAGAGGUCGGUCGAGAGAGAGAGAGAGAGAGAGGUCGGUCGAGAGAGAGAGAGAGAGGUCGGUCGAGAGAGAGAGAGA